rnacentral:rRNA from 1 species
AUCAGGUAGGACUACCCGCUGAACUUA